rnacentral:rRNA from 1 species
UUCGAUUCUAGCUCAGGAUGAACGCUGGCGGCGUGCUUAACACAUGCAAGUCGAACGAAGCUCCCAGAUCUGAUGAUCCGUCUGAAGUGAAGGGAAGACUUAGUGGCGGACGGGUGAGUAACGCGUGGGUAACCUGCCGUAUACAGGGGGAUAACAGUUAGAAAUGACUGCUAAUACCGCAUAAGCGCACAGUAAGGCAUCUUACAGUGUGAAAAACUCCGGUGGUAUACGAUGGACCCGCGUCUGAUUAGCCAGUUGGCAGGGUAACGGCCUACCAAAGCGACGAUCAGUAGCCGGCCUGAGAGGGUGAACGGCCACAUUGGGACUGAGACACGGCCCAAACUCCUACGGGAGGCAGCAGUGGGGAAUAUUGCACAAUGGGGGAAACCCUGAUGCCAGCGACGCCGCGUGAGUGAAGAAGCAUUUCGGUGCGUAAAGCUCUAUCAGCAGGGAAGAAAAUGACGGUACCUGACUAAGAAGCCCCGGCUAACUACGUGCCAGCCGCCGC